UCUUUCUAUUUUCUUCCUUUCUUGCUGUGUUGGUAUUCCAAAAAAAAGUUGCAGUGUAUGUGUUUGAAUCAGGCUUUGUGCUAUGGAUAGUAAUGCCUCUAGCAAGUUCAUAUCCCAUUACCUCUUUGGCCUUUUAGUUUGGUGGUCAAAAAUUGAGAUGACACCCAGUCUUGUGAGAUCAGCAUUACCACACAACAAGAGCUGCAGACAACGCCAAUAAUAGAAGGAAUUUGGGAUGUCACAAUAGACCUUAUUAUUAUUUUUUAUAAUUGCUCUUGACGUCAGUGCACCUUCUCAUAUGUUAACAUCUUCUAUGUCAUCAUGGUGUACACACAUAUAUGAAGUGAAGCAAUAUUGUGGACAACUCAAGAAUACAAGCAUUUGCCAUUUGCACUCAUGGAGUAGGCAUUACCUCGAUUUUAUGUUCUUAUUCAAAUAUCGUGUGUCGAUUUCUUGAUCAAAACGUCUCUGUGAAAGCUGAUUUUUGGAUUUGCUAAUUUAAGAAGCAGAUAAGUUUCCACGAACAACACAUGCCACCGUUAAUGUAAUAUUAUUCUGAGCACUAUUUCCUUGAAAACCUGAGUGAAAUGUACUAUUUCCAUUUAUCUAAAAUGAUCUUACAGUCCUGCUGACAAGAAAAUUUAUCAAUGUAUUACUGUUCCUACAUUUGUUCACCCUUGGUCUGCAUGUUAAGAUGGCAAGCCUGAACAAGUACUCUUUCUGUACAGAGAAUGGUACUGUGCUAGCGCAAUCCAUCUUUGAUGUUCCUGGUAGAUGGAUCAUAUUAGUCAUUACGUGUGCUAUCCUGAAGCUACGGUUUUGAUGUGACAAUGCAAGAAGAUUGGUGUCGAGGCAAAGACUUACGGUGACAAUGCAAAAAGAUUGGUGUCGAUCUUAACUGCGCUUGGGACAAAUUCAUCUCCAUGGGGAUCAGCUAAGGCAAUCUUAUUUUGUAGUAAUUUUUUUCCACAUGAAUUUAAUCAAUUGAUGUUUGUGUGUUUAGUGGAAGGUUCAUGGUACUUGGUUUAGGGUUAGGUUUGUUUUUUGGAAUAACAUCUGCUGAAACCUGAAACAGUUAGCUGCAAUAGUUAGAUCGUCUAUGAAUAUGAACCAAGGUAGGUAAUUUUUCAUUCCCCCUCCUCACUAAUUAUAGCAGUAUAAAUGUCAAUGGACGGACUGCAGCUAGAAUCUUAGUGGAUGAUAACUUCUUUUCCUCAGAUUCAGCCGAUGUAUAUACAUCCUAAUAUGCCAACUGGUAAAAAAAGUAGUAAUAUUGAUUCUUCCGUAUCUGAGCUUAAUUUGCCCCAUUUACCAUAAACCUAAAAAUAUCCAUUCUGCUGAGUGCGCUGAAUGCCUUAUAUGUACAUCACCGUGCUUCAUGACUCAUAUAUACUCGACAGAUGAACACACACAGAAAAGUUUCAGCUAUCAGUGUUGUCAUGUCGUACAACAUACCGAGUAUUUUAUGGCUGAUUUACAUGGGACAGAAUGUUACUGAGCACGAUGAAAUACAUAUUUUGUUUACUUUAUAUAGUUUGUUGCGAUGCGUAUACAUCCUGGCUACAUAACCAUGAUUGGUUGAGUAAUCACAGCAAAUUGUAUGGCAUCAGCACCCCAUUUCAUUACGCCAUUGUCUUCUGAAUAAUGCUCUGUAGAUUCUUGGAAGCUUUUUCAUUAUUUGGCAUGCUAGAUAAUGGCACUGCUAUACUAUGUUGUUCGGAUAUGAUUUCUUUGUAUAUAGUGUUCAAGGUAUAAUAUAUCUCUGCCUUGGAGCGAAGUCAAGCUAGGGAUCACAUACAUGUCAACGAGGUGAUGGACCAUCUCUUGGUUUAAUGAAAAUAUAUUUUCUCCUUUUCCUUGACUAUAGCUUGACUCGAAAAUGUAUUCAGGCUGCUCUUAUUAACUUGAGAAAGCCCAUGAAAUUUCUCCAGAGGAUAAAACUGUUGCCGAGGUUCUAUAGCAUGGUUUACUUUUCUCCUAUUGCCGAGGUUCUGAAGUAUGGUUUACUUUUCUCUUGCAUAAACAAUAAUAAUUAUGCUGAUCUUACGCUCCUUCCCUGAAUUAUAUUGAGACCAGCUAAAGUAUAGGGAAUGCUAGGUGACGUUUGAUUUGGUCUGAAUGCCUACAAUGGUGAACAUUUUUAUUUCUCCCUUCAUAAAAAGUUUCUAUUUGGGAAUGUAUGUUGUUCCAUGAUGUAUCUCCAAUUUCUCAGCGGUGCUAAUUGUACUUUCUGUUGUAACAAGGUCUGCUAUAUACCAGAAUCUUAGCCAAACAUUCAUCAUGAGCAUAUACAAAAUUUUAAGGAACAAUCUUUUAUGUAGCUAUUACCUUUGUUGAUGUGCAAGAACACAGUUCAGGAUAUCUGAAUCUGAUUUGUGCACCGAACUAGGGGUAAUUUUUCCCAAGUACUUAGAUUUCUGUUGUACGUGCUGCUUUCUUGCAUCUGAUCCUGUUAUAAUGUUCAAUUGUGGGAACCUGAGUACUUCUUUUAAACAGUCUAAAGAAAAUGGUUCCUGGUGCACACCUCCCAUCUUCGAAGAACUUGACGUCUACGUUCAUAGGUCGAUGAUGUCCGGGACCUCAAGGCGUGGAUCAACCUGGCCAAGGAGAUGUAGGUAUAUGUGAAUGGCAUCGGAAAGAAAGUUCCAUUGCUUUCUUAUCAUUGGUUGUCUCCGAGAUUUCUUCCCUGCAUGUGCUAUACAAAAUAUGAUUUUGGCUGGUGGUAUACCGAAGUAUGGCUUUGUCGAAUUUCCACAAGUUGCUAUUGUAGCCCAGUUUCAGAUAGAUUUAAACCUGUAUAUUGGCUUGCUUACUUAUGUUUUGAAUGUCGGAGAAACAUGUUUUGUUCCUUCUGGGUUGGAUUUAUGAUGCACGUUGUGGCUCCACUGUAGUUGUAGUAGCGACUUGUGAGGUUUCUUGCUCAUUCUUGCAAACAUCAAUUGCCAGAACCGUA